CUCUUGAAACACGGACCAAGGAGUCUAGCAUAUGCGCAAGUUAUUUGGUGGUAAACCAUAAAAACGUAAUGAAAGUAAACGUCGUCUUGAUACGAUGAAAUAUGUGAGCUGUGUGUUGAUUAAUAUGCGCACAGUGCAACAUAGCCCUGUUCUCGUUGCUUGCAAUAGAACGGAGGUAGAGCGCAUACGCUGGGACCCGAAAGAUGGUGAACUAUGCCUGAGCAGGAUGAAGCCAGAGGAAACUCUGGUGGAGGUCCGAAGCGAUUCUGACGUGCAAAUCGAUCGUCUGACUUGGGUAUAGGGGCGAAAGACUAAUCGAACUAUCUAGUAUCUGGUUCC
rnacentral:rRNA from 2 species